CAUACAUUAUAAUCUGCCUUUAAAUGUGUAUUUCUUUUGUAGGUAAAAGUUUCAUUUGAUCUGAAUACUAUUCAAAUAAAAUACCUGGAUGAGGAAAAUGAAGAGGUAUCCAUCAACAGUCAAGGAGAAUAUGAAGAAGCACUUAAGAAUGAGAAAGAACAUCCUAUUUUUAUGACUCUGUCCCAUGGAAAUGUAAAGAUAAAUGGAUCCAAAUGCCACACUAUUGAGGAUUUUUUUGAUCACUCUGAUUGUCAUGAGUAAGUUUUGUGCUUUUUCAAAAGCAGUUUUUUCCUACACUGUCAUUUCCUGCUUCUCUGGCUCUGAUUUUCAAUAAAUUGAUAAAUUGUAAA